rnacentral:rRNA from 1 species
CAUUCUCAGGGCGACUGCCUACGGAGCCACGCCGCGUGGAUAAGAAGGCCGACAGGUUGUAAGCCCUUUUCUGGGGAAGAAUAACUGUGGGAGGGAAUGCCCGCGUGAUGACAUGACCCGGCGAAUAAGCCCCGGCCAACUUCGUGCCAGCAGCCGCGGUAAAUAAA